rnacentral:lncRNA from 1 species
UGCAGGUUUCUGAUAACUUUGGAGAUUGUUACAUCAAAAUGAAGAUGAAAGAAGUUUCAAGACUCUCUUGGAAAACAAAUGUUCAUAAAUUUUGAGCAAAACAGGAAUUAAUUAACCAAAACUACCCCUGUUUAUUCCUGUGAACCAACCAGUGAUCUCUGGCUGCAGCUCAGAAGAAACAAGAGGAAUGUGCUAUCAAAUUCCAGAUGAUCCUUAGUAAGGGAUAACAUUCUCUCAAUAUUCAAGAGUCACCCUUUUACAGGGGACCUUUAGACUGCCCAUCAGUGGGACAUGACAGAGGUGAAAUCCUGCUCCUGUCUCACUUAGACCUGACCAGAUACUGCUUUCAACAACCUAUGGAGCCACUUUGCCCUGACAGCUAGCAAGAGGCCAAGACCCACAAAACAACCACCACCAUGCCUUUGUCAACAGGAAGCAGUUACAGAAGACUGAACUUCAUCCAUUGUCUUAAAGAAUUGGACUGUUGUUCUCUUGAGAAGGGAGAUGUUACAGUAGGUAGCUAGUUAAACACAAGCAGGGUAGGAGAGACUCCCCUGGCAACCCACCACCAGGAAUAUCAGGCAAUCACCAGGUGAUGUUUAGGUGGUUGUUACACUGUCUCUCUAACACAAUAAUUGGUCACAGCAAGCACUAGGAAAAGGCAGUCUUCCAGUAGAUAGAAACACCUGAAGUUGGUGAUCAGCAGCUUCCCAAUAAGGUCUCAGAAGUUGGGAGAGUGGUCUCAACAUGCACACUAAGAGGAAAAAUGGUGGAGUUUAACUGGUAUAUGAUCUUUCUUUGAGAACAUUUGACUGGUAAGGGAGGAAUUCUUCAAGUGAGCCUGUAUACAACUACAGUAAACACACUGUGCAUGUGGCCCCUAUCAAAUGCUGAGAGACCACUGCAUAUGUGAACAGCCCAUCCUGAGGGAAGAAUCAGAGGAGAAGGGAUACAACCCUUCAGAAAAGUGCCCCCAAAGUCAAAGGUUAAACCACUCUCUUGACUCUGUCAAGUUGCCUGCUUCACCCUCUUCCAAGUAUACUUUACUUCCUUUCAUUUCUGCCCUAAUAUUUUUAAAUAAACUUUCACUCCUGCUCUAAAA